AGCAAGGCCGUAAGGCGGAGCGAAUCCGGAAAGAUUGCCUCAGUUCGGAUUGUUCUCUGCAACUCGAGAACAUGAAGUUGGAAUCGCUAGUAAUCGCGGAUCAGCAUGUCGCGGUGAAUAUGUACCCGGGCCCUGUACACACCGCCCGUCACACCCUGGGAGUUGAUUUCGCCCGAAGCAUCAGACCAAUGAUCACCCUAUCUAUAUAUGUUCCACUAGUGUGGCCCACGGAGGUUGGGGUGGUAUUAUUGGCGCAGAGCUCAGUCACGCUAGGAAGGCAGUGCCAGUCAGGGAGGUGGGUUGCGCUUGGCUACUCAACUU
rnacentral:ncRNA from 1 species